UGAGUUUGUGCGGCCGUGGGGCGGAGCUGCUCGGUUGGUAACGGAGAGACAAAGCCGAGGCAACAGCGGACACGGACGGACGCCCUCGCUCGUCUUCACUUCGCGUCUAACGGCUGUUUCCAAAUGGCAACGACAGCGGACGACCUGCGGGAACCGGCGGACGUCGCUGCGCUGUCGCCGCACCACGGCUGCCGCCACCACAACAGCAACAACAACAACAACAAUAACAACAACAACAAAGACAGCGAGGCGGGCGAGAGCGCGACCUCCGCCACCGCCAGCGCGACGGAGCCCGGCGGGACGGCGUCGCAGAGCAUCGGUAACGGCUCAGUCAUCAACCCGACCGGCGGGAAUAACGGGAAGUGGGUCCGGCUGAACGUCGGCGGCACGGUGUUCCUCACGACGCGGCAGACCCUCCUCAAGGAGCAAACUUCGUUCCUGUACCGGCUGUGCCAACAGCAAGACCUGCACUCAGACACGGAUGAGACGGGGGCCUAUGUGAUUGACAGAGACCCUACCUACUUCGGUCCCAUCCUCAACUACUUGCGGCACGGCAAACUGGUCUACAACAAGGAGCUGGCUGAAGAAGGUGUCCUCGAGGAGGCUGAGUUUUACAACAUCACCCCACUGAUCAAACUGAUCAAGGAGAGGAUUGUGGAGAGGGACUCCAAAUCCACGCAGCAGGUGCCCCCCAAGCAUGUCUACCGAGUGUUGCAGUGCCAAGAGGAGGAGCUGACCCAGAUGGUCUCCACGAUGUCGGACGGCUGGAAGUUUGAGCAGGUCAGCGUGCGCGCCUGCAGAAAGCCCCGCACUGGACUGCUCUGGACUAUGGUGAACAUCGGCUCGUCAUACAGCUAUGGAACAGAAGACCAGGCUGAGUUUCUGUGUGUCGUUUCCAAGGAGCUUCACACUCCUGGAUCUGGACUCGGUACGGAGCAGAGCCACAAAACCAAGCUUUUCCAGAUCCAUGGGUCCCGGAUGUAGAAAUCACAAGAAUUUAAGUUAUUUUUUUUCUAGACUUAUUAUAACACUCUGUACAUGGUGUGUGUGUGUGUGUGUGUGUGUGUGUGUGUGUGUGUGUGUGUGUGUGUGUGUGUGUGUGUGUGUGCGUGUGUGUGUGCGUGCGCGCGCGCGUGCGUGCGUGCGCGUGCGUGCGUGUGUGUGUGUGUUGCGUCUAUGGAUCAUCAUCAAAACAGAUUUGUAGCAUUCCUAUCCGUUCAUUGACAGAAAUGCCAGUUAGAAAGAUUACCAAAUGACCAAAAAGAAAAGAAAACCUAAAUCUCACUGUCAGUCGCAGCAAUAUCGUCAAAAGUAUUUGUCAGUCAAACUAAUUUUAUUUGUAGAAAUAAUCAUAUGUUGGUGUGUGCAAACAAGAUAUUGCCAAGGGAAGUAGUUGAGCUUAGUAAAUUAUAACCAAAGAUCCAGAUUAAAGCUGGCUGAUCUAAGGUGCUCAACCAAAACGUGACAGAGAAUAACAGAGAAAAUCUGCACGCAGAAAAGACAUUGUCUUCGUUAGCCAGUGAGGAGCUGUUGCUGAGUCACAGUGAUCUGAUAAAUGGCGAAUGGCGUGCAAGGAUCAGUUUACAUCUGCAUUGUGGAUUAUUACAUUUCCUAAUGUUAACACAGAUGGCAUGGAGGCAUUAAUCAGUAAGUCAAAAUCAACCUAAAUAAUUCUGAAUUUACUAUAACCCCAAUGAUGGAUGCAGGUGUUCCCAAAACUGUACUUCAGAUAAUUGGACCAAAUGGGCUAACACUGGUUUGAUCUUAUUGUACACUCCACAGCCCUUGUAGUCACGGCAGCACAGAUCUUGGCAGCUGUUUUAGCCAUUGGAUGCAUUGACUCUGGUAUACCUGUUGUGGGAACGUAGGUUAUCACUGGUUUGAACUCAUAGUAUUAGAUGUAGUUUAGCCAUUUAUUGGUUCGGUUGGCUUUAAAUUGACAGAUGGAAACAGACAGACAAGGGCAUUUGUUGGUGUGGGAUAGAUAUCCUAUUUUUUACUGGUCACGUUACAGAGUUUUCAUCUGACCACAGCAAGACUGUCAGAGACCGAAACAGUCACUGUCCAACAGAGCUCAAAACAUGAGCAGCCAGCACACACACACUGCUCUACAUUUCCCCCUGCACCAACACCCUGUUGUGUGCUGAUACACACCUGCACCACCUCGUGCCGGUGCAUGCUCAGCAGCAGCGUCGACUCAGUCUGUCGCCCUGGCUGGGAUCCAGAGCCAGCUUUGGCCCCAGCUGACAGAGUGCUGUUGGUGUGAGUUAGGAAAGGCUUUAACAGAGAGUCACUGAGAAGGAGGGGGGGAGAGAUCAAAAUGAGGAGGAGCGGGUGAGACAGGAGAGCGAGGUGUGUCUUUGUUUGUAAUAGUGGUAGUCACACAAUGUCCUCUGUCACUGCGUUAGUUUAUUAAAAUAAGGAACAGCACUAAACUCAUACUGUCAGUUCUGCCGCAGUGCAGGUGUAUGAUUGAAAAGGGUUUGAAGAAGCAGUUUUUUAAAUAACACGUGACUUUUAACAACCUCUAUUGGCAACUUGUAGGAACUGCACCACAGAUCAAAUGUGUAUCCCCUGUGCAAGUCUGUGGCAAAACCCUGACACUACUUUGUAUAAUAAAAAGGAAUUGAAAUUUUUAGGUGUAUUUUCACAAACACACCAAGGUUUUGGCAGCACAUUUACUGGUAAACUCUGGAGGUGUACUUGCUGGAAAAUAAUGGGUUAUACAUAACUUAAAAAUAACAGGGUGUUUCCUUUAUCAGCAGGUAAUCAAAUGUGUACGUACGCUUUUAGCCUAUAAUAGUCCAAAGUCAUGUCAUAGCUCAUCAGAAAACGCAUAACCACAUAAAACAUAGAAAAUACAUUGAUAUAGAAUAGAAACAAAGCAGGAUUUUAAGUCUCUUCUUUAAGCAUUAUUUGGAGGCAUAAAUAACAAAAAUAAUUGAGUUCAUCAGCAGUGGUAGGAGCAAAACAAAAAUAAAAGACAAUACAACACAAAAGGGAAAAAAAGAAAGGGUAACCACACUCAGUCAUCCAGAUCAGCCGGUUAUCCCAGUUGACGUUUCAGAUUUAAGAUAGCUAUAGUACCCAUAUUAGCUUUAGCAGCUAACAGCUGUGUAGAGAAGAUGGUUAACAGUAUUCCAACGUCCUGUAUGGGCCAUCUUCUGUUAUGUUCUCAAAUAUAGUUUCAUUUUAUUGUUUUAUUUUUUUAAAGGCCAAUUUCCCUAAAACAGCUGGGCUCUGUAGUUUUUAGAUAACAUUACUCAAACAGGUAAAUUGGGAAUUUGUUUGGGUUUUAGCCACAAAUGAAAACACAAUUGUGAGGGUAAAUUCAUAUUUGGUUUUGCAAUUUUUAUGCAAAUUGUUGACAAAAUAAAAAUAAGACAUCACUAGACCUAUCCUGUAUGUAAGUAUGUAAUUAAAGCUGUCCUGCACUAACCCUGAAAACUGCAGUUGUUUGGUCAUGGCCACUGAGGUUUACCUCAAGCAGAGAGAUUAUUUCGGCUGUCAGCAGCUUAUGUCUGCCCCCCUCCCCUGCUGUUUGGCUCCUGUGUACCACUGACAGCAACAUACAAUAGGGAAACACACAAAUACACUCGGACUGUUUUAUACAGGCAAUAAGCAGUGAAGAGUUAUAACGUGAGACAAUCGAGAAUUACAUCAUGGUUGGUGACUUUUUUUGAUAAAACUUUGAUAAUUAAAUCUGAAAAAAAAUCUGCUGCAGAUACUGUGUGUGUGUGUGUGUGUGUGCGCGCAUAAAAGGUGUCUCUUCCAUUUCAAGUGUGAAAUAGAAACAGAUAUCCUGGACCUUUUUAAGGUUUUUUGCAAUAUCUUAUUAGCUGGAUUAGCAGAUUACAAUAAAUGUUACAUUAGUAAUGAAACAGUUAUCAUCGUGCUUCUGAUAAUCAUAACAGUGAUGUUAGCAGGAGGGAGAAAACUGAAAGAGACACAGUUAUGUUUGUUGUUUUGUCACUUCAGCUUUUUCUCGUGGCUCUUUUUACCUUGGAUCAUUCGGUGCCUUGAGUUCAAGCAGCAAAACCGACGCGUCGAAAGACCGACGCGUCAAAAUGGUCAUAGGUGUUAUUAACAUGCAUUUUUUUAAAUAGCUGUAUGAAUAUGUUAGUCGAUGAAUGGGUAGUUUACAUUCUCACUGAGAGUCUAGGUUUAGUAUCUGUGUAAUAUUCCAGAAUUAUAUUUUUCAUAAGAUGUUAAAGUCGAGACAUAGAAAGUACACAGCUGCACGUGUGAGCUGAGGCUGUUUCAUGCAGCUCUUGUUGAAGGCUUUCUAAAAAGUCAUGCCUUUUUUAUUUUAGUUUUUGUACGUAUGGUUGUCUAAUUUAUUCUUAAGUUUUCUUUUUGAAUGUUACACAGUAAAAUGAAUUGGACUUUUUUUUGUGGGGGGGCUAUUUUUGCUUUUUUUCUACUUGACGACUAGCUUUUAUUUUUGACUAACCUGAUGAUCUUCAGCAGUAUAAAGAAAUAUAUCCAUCAGGUUUACUAAAUAUGCUAGUUCUUAUUCUUAGUUCACAUAAAUGCUGUUGAACAGACAUUUCCCCACAAAUAGUUUUCCUCUCCAAUGAAAAUGUGUUAAUAUUAGGUCACUUUUAUAAAGCUCCACUUGCAUGUCCAGUUACCUUGUUGGGUUUGCUGGAUCCCCACUUGAUUUUCUUUUUAUUUGUACACUAUUUGUUGAAUUGUUUCUGCUGUACAGUAGAGUGUGUUUUUACAUAGUAUUUGACGUGUAAAAGUCUACAUAGCAGUCCUCUUUCAUUAUUCUGUGCAAAAAACAAAUCUGCCAGGCAGCUGUGGAUAGAAAACUGUUUUUAUCUGAUGCUGGAGUUUUUCUUCUGCUGUCCAUACAGUCUCAUUGUCUGUAUACAUUAAACUACGUGACACAUGCAUUGUAACGCCUCAGAUGAACCUGUACAGGCUUCAAGAAACGCUCUGUGUUUUGAUUUUAUUGAACUGUAUUCAUCAGGACCUGAACAACAUACAACAUUUUCCACAAUGUGACAGAAGGCAAAUUGUUGUGGGGGUUUUUUAUUUAAUGUAAAUGAAUGUCACCAUUCUCAGCAAAAAUAAAUCUUUGUCCUUUGGUUUAAAAUA